GAUGAACGCUGGCGGCGUGCCUAAUACAUGCAAGUCGAGCGAACAGACGAGGAGCUUGCUCCUUCGACGUUAGCGGCGGACGGGUGAGUAACACGUAGGUAACCUACCUAUAAGACUGGGAUAACUUCGGGAAACCGGAGCUAAUACCGGAUAAUAUUUCGAACCGCAUGGUUCGAUAGUGAAAGAUGGCUUUGCUAUCACUUAUAGAUGGACCUGCGCCGCAUUAGCUAGUUGGUAAGGUAACGGCUUACCAAGGCAACGAUACGUAGCCGACCUGAGAGGGUGAUAGGCCACACUGGAACUGAACCGCGGUCCAGACUCCUACGGGAGGCAGCGGUGGGGAAUCUACCGCAGUGGGCGAAAGCCUAACGGGACAACGCCGCGUGGGUGAUGAAGGUCUUCGGAUCGUAAAACUCUGUUAUUAGGGAAGAACAAACGUGUAAGUAACUGUGCACGUCUUGACGGUACCUAAUCAGAAAGCCACGGCUAACUACGUG
rnacentral:rRNA from 1 species